GGAGAGUGCAAAGGAGAUUAUGAGAAGCCAUAGUUGCAGAAGGAAAUGAAAUAUUGGAGUUAGCAAUGAAACACUAAAUGCUAAUUUCUAAUAGAUGGACAUUUCAUCCUGGAACUGUGUGCUUUUCCUAUAGAUUCUAACAAGGAGAUACUCUAUUCUUUAGUUUAUUAUAUUCUAGAUUAUCUAUUCCUACUAUUUUGUAAAUAACAAAG
rnacentral:misc_RNA from 1 species